AUGCAUUCACUAAAGAAAGUGACCUUUGAAGAUGUAGCUAUUGACUUCGCCCAGAAGAGUGGAGCUUUCUCUUGAUGGACAUAUCCAAGAGAAAGCUGUACAGAGAUGUGAUGCUGGAAAACAUCAGUCACCUGGUGUCCCUCGGGCAUCAGAUAAGCAAAUCCUAUAUAAUUUUGUAGCUGGAACAAAGAAAAGAGCUAUGGAGGGAAGGAAGAGAAUUUCUUCAAGGCCAGAGUCCAGACAGGGAAACUGCCCUUAAGAAAAAACACAUGAUAUCCAUGCAUCCUAUCAUCAGAAAAGACUCAUCCACCAGUUUGACAAUGGAGAAAUCUCUCAUUCCAGAGGAUCCCUUUGAACAUAAUGAUUUGGGAGAAGAUUGCACUCACAGUUCCACAAUGACUCCAUGUUUGUUAACUCACAGUGGAAAGAAACCCUACAUCAGCAAACAGUGUGGAAAAUCCUUUAGUAAUCAGUUGUCCCCUAAACAACAUAAAUUCAUACUAAAGGUAAGUCAUAUCAACGUAAUCUAUGUGAAAAGGCUUAUACUAAUCGCUUUCACCUUAGGCAGCACAAGUUGACUCACACUGGAGAGAGACCAUAUGCAUGUCAUCUAUGUGCAAAAGCCUUCAUUCAGUGUUCUCACCUUAGAAGACAUGAGAAAACUCACAUGGGAGAGAGACCACAUAAGUGUCAUCAGUGUGGGAAAGCCUAUAUUCAAUCCUUAAACCUUCAAAGACAUUAGAGAACUUACCUUGGAAAGAGAUGUUAUGAAUGUGAUAAAGGUGGGAAAGCCUUUAGUCAGAGCUCUGGCUUUAGAGAGCAUAAAAAAAAUCACACUGGAGAGAAACUACAUGUAUGUCUUCUAUGUGGGAAAGCCUUCAGUCUAUCUUCUGACCUUAGAUG
rnacentral:lncRNA from 1 species